rnacentral:rRNA from 1 species
CCAUGGAGCUGGAUUCGCUAGUAAUCGCGCAUCAGCCACGGCGCGGUGAAUACGUUCCCGGGCCUUGUACACACCGCCCGUCAAGCCAUGGAAGCCGGGGGUGCCUGAAGUGCGUGACCGCAAGGGACGCCCUAGGGUAAAACCGGUGACUGGGGCUAAGUCGUAACAAGGUACC